AGCAGCCGCCGCUGUAAUACGGAGGGUGCAAGCGUUAAUCGGAAUUACUGGGCGUAAAGCGCACGCAGGCGGUCUGACAAGUCAGAUGUGAAAUCCCCGGGCUUAACCUGGGAACUGCAUUUGAAACUGUCAGGCUGGAGUCUUGUAGAGGGGGGUAGAAUUCCAGGUGUAGCGGUGAAAUGCGUAGAGAUCUGGAGGAAUACCGGUGGCGAAGGCGGCCCCCUGGACAAAGACUGACGCUCAGGUGCGAAAGCGUGGGGAGCAAACAGGAUUAGAUACCCCUGUAGUCCCUGUCUCUUAUAC
rnacentral:rRNA from 1 species